GUCUAUGGCCGCACCACCUUGAACAUGCUCUGUCUCGUGCGAUCUCGGCAGCCAAGCAGGAUCGGGCCUGGUUCGUACUUGGAUGGGAGAAAGGGAGAGGAUCCAGGGAGAAGAGGAGA
ensembl:rRNA 5S_rRNA 5S ribosomal RNA